GAGGUUCAGUCCAUUAUCAUCAUGGUAUACAACAUGCCAUCAUCCAAGCAGGUAUGGAACUGGAACGGCUAAGAGUUCUACAUCUUUUUCCACACUUGAUCUUAGCCAAAAGGCCGAGAAGCGAUCUACAUCUUUUUCCAAAGGCAAACAGGAGAAGACUAGCUUCAAGGCAGCUAGGAGGAGGGUAUUAAAGCCCACCACUACAAUGACAAACUUUCUCCAACAAGGCCACAUCUACUCAACAAUGCCACACCUCCUAAUAGUGCCACUCCCUUGGGUCAACUAUAUUCAAACUACCACAGUGUGGUUCCAUUUAUAUUCUUUCCAAACAUAACACUCCCUCUCGAGUGUCAGCUCGAGCAAAACACCACAUGCCUUUUCACAUGUCUGCUUUAGUAAAAUAUUCUCUCACCUGUCUGCUUCAGCAACCCAUUCUCUCACAUGUCUAUCUCAGCAGAACAUCUCUCACGAGACAGUUUCCAGAAAAACGUCACAUUACACAAUUGAGUUUCCAAA
rnacentral:lncRNA from 1 species